GUCCUGUAAUUACAUUGUAGCACAAAUCUGCAGAACGAGUUAUACAAUGUGUUGAGUUUAUUAAUGUGGGAUUGCGAUGCAGACGCAUAUACUACAUCCCCAUAAUCAAUUAUUGGCAUCAGCAUUUGCUGUACAAUCUUUUCCUUUACUGUAGGGCUUAGGCAGGCUUUGUUUCUGUACAGGGCACCUAAUUUUGGAUAAAGUUUAGAUGCAAGCUUUUCUAUGUGCAGGCUAAAAGAUAGAUUGGGGUCUAAUAUCAUACCCAAGUAUUUGAAAGAGUGGACCGCGGUCAGUG